rnacentral:lncRNA from 1 species
UGAAAGGAUAGGUGCAGGAGUGGGGGUAGCAUUAUUUUCUAUUUCCACAGGAUCCUUCAGUGGUUCGAAUCCGAGGAAAGGGGAUGACAUUAUCGCCAUUGAUUGAAUUCGUACGUCUAUCGCUAUCCCGGGCCGAGGAGAGGGGGUUUCGGAAGCCGUGCCCUUGUUGGUAAAGGAAGUAGGUUUUGCUUUUGAAGGUAGGUAUUUCUGGAAGCAAGGAAAAGAAAGAAGGAAGUUGACUCGUACCAAGCAAAGCAGCUACUCUACUUGCAGUCCUGAGCUCAACGCCUACUCAUACCCUUCAAUAGAACUGUUCACAAGUUCCCUUGUUCUAUAGUUCACUCGAGGGUGGUGUGCUUUUUGCCUCACUUCAAUCGCCUAAGGGCUUAUUUUAUUGAGGAGUGAUGUCUCCCGACUUGUGUGUCGUGCCAGGCCUCUUCCUUCACCGCAGGGGGGAGAAGUCUUUGAUAAGUAAAGCUAAACAGAAAGAAAAGUCCACCAUGAUUCCUCAAGCUAGACAGAAAGAGAAGGAAUAGGUCUUACUGGUCCCGGUACAAGAGAUGGGAAUUCCGUGCUAUUGGAACGACUAGUAGAAUGAAACAGAACUAGUAGUUCUCUAAACCUUGUGAAACUAUGAGAGUAACGUAUGUAUUCAGCCCUAGUAGUCUGUAUCGAUGAAUAGAAUGACUUUUGCUAGUGAGUGUUACAAGCUAGUAGUAGUUGUACAGUACUAGUGAAUGGAACGAUACGCAGGUGUUGAUUCCUUUAUUGUUCUCUAUUACCUAGCCAUACACACUCCUUUCUCCUAUUACUCGCUAAACACACUCCUUUCUUUCCUAUGCAAGUAUCAUUCCAGAUGCAUGGAUUAGCAUACGUAUAAAAAAUCUCUUACUUAAAUACUGAGAUUGCCCUUCUUCGUAUAUCGAUUUGGGAAGUGUUCCAGAACAAAAUGAAUACUCCUGCUGCUAGUAGGUGGAAAACAGGGUCAAUUGUGGUUAUGUUGAUCCAUCUGCUUCAAAGCUUCGGGUGCUUUUGCUAAUGAAUCUUUUCCUUGUUCGUUCUGAUACGACCCAUGCCAUGGAUAUGAUCAAUGUAAAGAUUUUAUUUUUUUUAUAGUUGUAUACCACAUCAUUAGAUGAACGAUAUGAGGCAGUUGCCAAUUGCACUCUUGUUGCUUGUAAAAGUGCAUUCAAAUCGAGAGUUUUCACGAUUGGGACAUAGCCGAGAUACGCUAAGGUUGAGGCAAGGCGGAACCUCCUCUACUAAAAUACGAAUACGAAUAUUUCCUUUGCGGAGGAUAUUCACUGCUACGGAACUACAGCAUAGAUCUAUUAUAAAAAGAAAGAACUUCAAACUCUUCCACUUACUCCUGUUUGGUUUGCUUCUGUUUUCAGUUGAACAUUCUUCUUUUCUUUGAUUUCCAAUCAACGAGUACGGGAGACAAUGGCUCUUCUUUGCUUUGGCAAAAAGAGAAGGAGCUCUUCUUGCCCAUAUGGGAGUGGAAGCUUCAGUGUAAGCAUUUCCUCACACUUGUCUUCGUAGGCCACUUUAUGUUGAGCAGGAGGCGCUCGCUGUUCUCGUUGAAGCUGUUUAUACAGGUUUUGGUGGCAAUCCGAGUGAGAUUGAACCUGCUUCUUCGACUCAAGAACACUUUCUUCUUUUCAAUAGGUAAAAGCACACCACCUUCUCAUGACAAUCAUAGUGCUUCGGUUUCUGUCUGUCUAAAGGUGUUCCCAGGGGGUAGCUGCUUUUGCAUAGAAUGGAUUUUGGGCCUUGCCCGCUUGCACAAGGAAAAGAAGAAGCGAAAUCCAUUUCCGUAAGGUGUGACGCUGUUCCGUUGUUCGAAAGGAAAGGUAGGGAUAGACAGGUAAAGGAAGCCGAGUACUUGACAACCCAACCCUAGUGUUAGUAGUAAGAGUUUGAGAAUCAUAGCCUGGGUACUCUUUUGACUCAUCGGUCUCUCCCUGCUUGACCUAUACUCCCGGAACUUUCUGGCCAGGCCUUCCUAUAUGCUUCUCUCCCUUAAGAGCGGAAAUCGUUGAGUUAAGCCUGCGGCCUUAGGAUCUAGUGCACCGAAUACUUUGCCAAUCCUACACUUAUAAUAUCGGAUCGGAAAGGUAGUUAUUCCCGGAAACUGUAGGAAAAGAGCCUCACUCCUAGCCUCUAGACUGAAACUGAACCUGAAAGGCUUGAGAGCAAAGGGUGCGGUCGCAUAAUCCAAUCCUGCUAAUAGAAAGGCACGGACUCGAAGGUAGUUGUGCCAGGAGAGGAUUGAGAAGAGUGUCAUACUCAAGAAGUAAGCCAUCAAAUCCUUUCUGAUGACAGAUGGAUUAUCUAUAGACUAAAGACGGAUUUUCUAUCGACUUUCGAACUUAUCGAGACCUUCUAUUUCAUUGAACUACUAAAUACCGGCGCAUAGAUCUUCUAGUAGAUAUAAUAUAAGAAGGAAGGUUCUUUCUAACGAUUGGAGGACCGGGCAUUUUGUCAUUCAAAGAUAUGGUAACCGAACACUGUUGUUAGAAAAACCUUGCGUCAUCCUUCGGUAGAGCAAAGCAAGGACACAGGGCACAAAGCAUUUCCCGACCACGGAUAGGUACCAUGUGUUACCAUUCAUUUGUCACUUAUUUGAUUCUAUCUCAGAGGAAGAGUGUUCGUUCGGGCUAACGAAAGAUCUCAGAGGGACUCUUACUUCUACAAGAGCUUUUACACAAGUUAUCGACAUAUAGGAAUUCGACUACCUCAUCACUGUGUGAAGGAAAAGGUUCAGGAAGCUUGUGAUGCUCGGGAUGGACUGACUCCAUAUGCGCGAAAGAACUGAGAUCUUCAACGAAAGCCCCCCAAUUUCAUCGACCCUUACUUAAUGACUGGUGAUGGCGAUUUAUGCUUUUAUUGCCUCGAAGACUUAUCAUUCUUACUUAAGCUUAAGAUCGAGACAGAAUAGUUGGGCACUGGCAUUCUCACAGGCUAUUGUAAGAGGAGAGAAUCGCACCUUUGAUUUGAUAAAAACUUUCUUUACAAGUAAAAACACCCUCCAAGGAUGAACGAUUUAUUUGCAUGAGACUGUUGGCACUACUACUUGUACUUGAUUUGAUUUUCUUGAACGAACAGCCGAGUAAAGAGUAACAUGGCCUAUGAAAGCUUGCUUUAAGUAGGCUACUAUUCAUUCUCUUUUAUGCUACGCUACGCCCUAGUUAUCAUUUUUUAUGAAUUCAUUCCAAUAUCGAUGAAUGCGGUCCAUAGGGCAGUGAGCGGGAUAAAAUGAAACAAUGGAAGAAAGAAGAGGCGCACAGCGGGAAAGUAUCCCAAGUGGAUUGACUACUCCUGUUUUAUAGCUUAGGGAAAAAGAUCACUUACUCUCUUCGGUCCUCCUCUGAGAUUCUUUUUAGACUUUUGAUGUCGUCUAUUUGCCCAAUUCAGACUUGGUAGUUCCACGUAUACACACGAAGUGGCUCCCUUAUCUGGAAUUCCUUCUUUUCGUAAGCUUUGUGGAUGAGGGGCGGAGCGAGGAAGGGAUAUUGGAUUUGAAAGCCCUUGGCCCAGACGUAUUGAAGCUAGCCUAUAAAAAUAAAGAUUAUAGGGACUUACACUGAUCGAUCCUCUUUGAAAGGAACAUGCCUAGACUAGCACUUCUACUUAUGUAUGAAGGUGGAUCUGACUCCAUUCUUUUGAUUCCCCUCCUCUAACCUCUCCUCUUUAAAGAUAAAGCGAAAAGCUAUUAUAUUAGGAGGCUUGGGUCAAAGAGCUACUACUUGACAAAAGAGCUACUUCAACAACUACUUAUUCGGUCUGCUUUCGGUUUAAAGUUCUUUAGUUAGAACUUUUUGGGCACGCACAAAGAUCACGUGAACUCAAUGGUGUGCGUAGGGUAACUAAAGAAGCACUAAAAGAAGGCAAGAGCAUGCCUCACUCACUGAGCACAAUGCCCUACCUACCAUCUCGAUUCUCAACGAAUUGGAUGCUCACCACAUAUUUAGUAUAUGGGUGUAUGCUCGCGAAACCUACUUCACUCCCACCCACCUCUGAUUGCAUUAGCCUGCUGAUUGAUCCCGGCAAGGAAGGCAAAGGAUAAUUUCAAUAUUAUUUCUUUGGAUUUACUUUUUAUGAAAGCGAUGAUUCCAUCUAAUUUUCAUUCUCCCUUCCUUUUUUUUCAGACUUAGACUAGAAGCUAGCGCUUUUUGGCAUCACUUAAAUAAAAUAUCCGACAUCAUCUUUUGGACAAGAUCCUCUUCGUUCUUCUUCCGGGUUAAAGGGCGAAAGAAAAAGGGCAAAGGAAAAGGCCACCUCAUCAAUAUCAGGAUACUCUGAGGGUUGCAAGUUUUGAUGCACCCGAGCCAAAUCUGACUUUUUUGAGUAAAGCCUUAUGAUGUUUUCAAUUUAUUAAGGGAAGGGGCUUCUUUGCAAAGAAAAGGGAUAGCGCUAGGAAUAUCAAUAGCGUACGGAUAGCAUUAUUCCAUUCCAUUGCUAUUUUCCUUCGUUUCGUAAAGUAUCGUAAAGUAAAGUAAACUCAGGGUUUCCCGUACUCGGAUGGUUGCUUCUACGUCAAUUCAUGGAAAGCUGCCACCAUGGGGCGAAUCAAACACAUACCCUUGCUUUUCAUUACGAUCUAUAUUGAUUAGAAGUUGCAGUGAAGGUGGCUGUAACGGUCGCCUCUAGUCCGUACUACUGCUUCAUCCCUCGCUCGCAAAUAUGAGGUGGGCAGUCUCGAUAGAACAGUUUUCUAGCUAGGAGAAUGCGCAGUAGGGCCUAUGGAUUGGUCUUCGUUCGUAUUGCUCUCUCGUUUCUAGUAAAGUAAAAGUAAAAGUAAGUAGUAUUGGAAACUCUAGAUCGUGCAGAAGCUAAGUGGACCAGACGACUUCACAAUCUCGAACGGUAGCAUCCAAAUACCUGACUGUCUACUUCGUCCAUUGCAAUAUCCGGGUAAAAGAAAGAGCAACUCCGAGUUGAGACUCGUGAUUCAUAACCGAGAAAUACUACUUGAAAACGUGAACCAGUUGGUUAGGCACACAUGAAAAAGGUUCCGUGGGUUUAUGCGGAUAGGGUGUAAGCGAGGCCCAGAGGAGGCUAGUAAUAAGUAUUUUACUAUGCCCGGCUCCGGACUAGUUCGUUGAAUAGACCUAUGGUUCUAAGGAAUGUGUUUUCUGGUCUGGGUAAGUUUUCUGUCUUCGUAUAACCUUUAAAGGACAGGUUCUUAGGUUUAGCAUUCUUUCUUGCCUUGGCUCUAACCUUUAGGGUUCUCUUUUCUGUCUUCAUAGGUUUCCCUUGCUUGAGAGGUAGUAUUCAUUACCUUGGUGGAAGCCGUUUCUUGGUAAGGGUUCUCUCUUUACUGAUAGGCUUUUCUUUCCUAUUUCUUUAUUCCACCCUGACACACCCAUUAUUGGCUUCCUUCCCUGGAGACCGCUCGGGCGAAGGCAGAGCAUGGAAUGCAAUAAAGAUUCACGCUUUCUGACACAGAAUCCGGUUAGGGACAUAGGUUAUGGAUAGUCUUUUCCAAUGCGAAAAAAUAAAACGACAUCGUGUCUAUUUUUCUUGGCUAAAGGAAAGGGGUAUCGAGAUGUGCUAGUCUAGUAUACUGAAUCAUCCUUCUGUUUCUUACAGCCGAAGAUUGGGAAUCAGGAUCUCUUUCCGUGGUUCUGACGGUUUAUGUUUCCAUUCCUGCUUCUUCCUGUUAUUUGAUAUGGUUUGAUACGGUUUCCGGGUCUAUGGUUUCCAGUUACAAGACAAGCAAGCAAGGUUAAGGUUUCUCUUUAUGUAGGCGUAUACUAGAACCUGAAAAGAAAAGAGAAGAGAAUAGUUUCUUACUUCCUUUGAUUGGCAAUCCAGAUAUCUUAGCUUGUUUCUAACGGUUCAUUCAUACCUUUUUCUUGUUGCAUUUGAUUCCAUUCCUUGGUUCAAAUCCGGAUCUCUAGCCUUGGUACUAGUAAGGGUAAUGGUUCUUCCUGUUUGGGUUUUUGAGAAGUUUGUUAGGUAUCCUGGUAACCUAUAUGUGUUCGAAGAAUUCCUUUGUAUACUAUUCCGUUGUAAAUACACGAUCUUUACUACGUACGUUGUCCAUUGGUUGACAUCUUUCCUCGGCUCGGAUAGCCAAGCUCAGCUCACACCAGCGAGCUAAAGAAAGGACAAGAUUCCUGCUUCUGCCUCACUUCCCCCAUAAGUUCGGGUAUCUCUUUGACUAGGGUUUUAAUUAAACUCGAGUGGAGGCUUUUCAACCCGCUUGGUGGGGCUCCCCUUAGGAAACCCAAAGCUCUUCUCCUUACCAGAUGUUGGAAGAACCAAAAAUUUAUCUUAUCCUCUUUCGGGUCAGCCUGUAAGGCGUAGAAUAAGUAGAGCCUGAUGCGCUCCCUUACCCUUAGUAAUCGAAGCGCCGUUGGUCAGAUUGAAUUCCAGCCCUUCUUUCUGUAACCGACCCAGAGCUACUGUGAGCCGGUUUCCCCAACGUCGAAGGGGAAUUCCAAUGUUCAAUUGCCCCUUUUCUUCGUUCAAAGCAACAAGUAGACCCAGCACUUGGAGCAGGAGUCUGCUUAGUGGCGCUCCUCCCCCGUCCCUGGACGUAAAUUCCAGUCUGAACCCACUAAAGGUAUGAACCAGGGUUUCUCUGAGCAGUUUCACCACCUCUAAGAUCUCCCCGAAUCCUAACCCCACCAGUGGCACCCCAGUCAGAAACUGAUAACACGCAUGGCACGCCGAGAACCCCUCUGAUAAGACUGCAAUCCCUAAUAGCGAAGAUACGCCAUACCUUGGAAAGAAGGCACCGCGUAAUACUAAAAUAAAAAGGCAGCCACAAAGUUCCAUGCAUAACAGUCUUAAAUGCCAAGCUUUAAUCUCAUCUUUGACACUCCAGAGAAAUCACAGUCGGACGGUGCAAGCAAAGAUGCGGGCGCAGAUGGUGAUGAUCAAGUCCAAUUCAUUGGGUCUCGACGUGCAUCACCCACCACUGUAACAAGCCUAGAGGAGGGGGUUUCACUUUGCUGACGGGAGGGCUAGUUAUGUUCUCACCGAGCCACCUUACCCGGUAGUAUUCAAACGGAGAACAGGAGAAUAGAGCCACAAGAUGAGCAUUUUCGUUGAUCUGGAUGCCAGAGGACACAAUCAAGGGUAAUUAAACAAUGUGCUUAUGAAGCGAGGAAUGAGGUUAGCUGUGAGGUCUCUCAGUACCUAGAUUCGUGGGUGGAGCCGUAGCCGUAGAAGAGAUUCUUUUUUUUUUCUUUGCGCGAGGAAGCGGAAAAGACAAAACCCUCUCUUGGAGAAAGCCAGUCCGGUUGGUAAUUCCACUAUAACUUGAUAACUUUAUGGAAUAAAUACCUCCCUGUGGAGCCCCUGUUGAUGGAUUCUGGCAAGCAAAAAGAAGACCUAAACCCGACUCUAAAAGCUUCAGUUGCCUCCCUCUCUCCGCCAAUGGCUAGGUUAGCUAUCUCUCUCUCUCGCUACGCCCCUGACCCUUAUAAGAAAUGACACAUGCCAUCCCGAUUUGAAACAUAUAAGAGUCGUGGCAUUCUCCGCAUUACCUUGCCCUAUCUUCACGCACUCAAGGAUGAAUCUGUGAGAGUAUACUUUAUACCCAAAAUCUGGAAUCUAAUCUUUAAUGACGUGAAUAUGUGCUAGUAUACUUUUUAUCUGGAAUCUAUUCUUUCAUGACGUGAAUAUGUUUGGUGUUAGUGGACUGACAGAGUGAGCAGUAAAGGUAGAAAAAAAAAGAUCCAUCUGCGAGUGGUUCGGCUUUUUCCUUAAGCAAGGACGGAGCCGUCGAGUGAGGAUUGGCUGAGCGUGCUUUCGCUGCUCGUGGUGGAGUACUCUUUUCAUUAUUCGCUCUAUUAUUGCCUCAGGAUGUGAUCGGGAUUAAGCCGCGUGUCGAUACCCGGGGGCCUUAUCAAGGGAUUCAUUCUUUUUUGCACUAAUGGAGGGCUCUCUUAUGUUCUACACAAAUGAGUAACGUAUAACGUGUAGAAUCUACGUUACUCACUUGCUCGCAUUCAUUAUCUCUUUCUAGCGCGAAAGCUAAAGCGCAUCCGUUUUCUUACUCUGAACAGGCAGGAUUUCUUGAUAGCUAUCAAGCCGUUGCGGCGCAUCCUCUUGCUGGGUGCCGGGCAAAUUAUCUAUGUUACAGUCUAUUAAAAAAAGGACUUCUAAUAAGAAAUUCUUCCGCUAAAGAAUAGGCUCGCCUAUAAAUAGAAGCUUCGGCGCACUCUCCAUUUUGCGGGACAAGUGCCGAGUCAAAGCGAUGGAUAUCGCAGCAAGACUCGCCAUAAUACCUCAGGAACAGCAGGCUCUAGAAAACGAUAAGCUUGCAUUACUGCAAAGAAAGUUUAGAUUUCCUUCAGGACCCCCUGUUUCUCUAUUCCGUCGAUCCACAACUUUGGAUGCCCAAUGCACAACUUUGGAUACACAAUCAUACACAGGAUGUUCGGAGGCAAAUCCGCAUUCUUGAAAUGCGGAAGAGGGCGCUGCUGGAAGAACAGCAAUCGCUCAUCGUGAAGGCUGCCCUCCGCGGUGACCGUAGAUCCUGAAAAAUAGAAAAAAGUAGUUACUCGUCUAUCUCAACGUAAAUGAACGAAGUCACUUAAGUCUUCCUACUACUGCUCCUUCUUACUUAUUUUCGUUUUUUCAGGAUCUAAAGAAGAAGAGGUUUUCUUAGCGGGCGUGAAUCCGGUAGCUUCUACUUCUGUUCUGUUGUCUCACUUAUGAGGAGCUGGUACUUCCUGAUCAAGAGUGUAGUGAGCAUAAGUAUUGUAUUGUUCAGUAUUUUCUUUUCAGGUGUGGUGUGUAGAGAUAUUGCCUUUAUGAAUAAUACUUAUGUAUUGCCUCUUCUUCUUGUUUAUGAAUAAUACUUAUGUAUUGCCUCUUCUUCUUGUUGUAGAAGAAUACUGAUGUAUUGCAAAGACCUGUUGUUGUUUUAUUUCUUUAUUUCUUCCUUUUCUCGAAUAGUAGUUGUUAGCUUUGUCUCUAGCAUGUUGGUUUGCUUCUAGCAUUUAGUAGAAUAAGUUGCAUUAGCAAGUUCAUCAUUUAAUAGAAGAUCAAGAAAAUGAAAGAUCAAUGAGAUACCUGUCCGGAUAGUUGGGAGAGUGAGCUCUGCCCUUAAGACAAUCAGAGACUGAGUGAUGCCGCGGAGAAUAGAGAUAUGUCAGUUGGGUAGAGAAGGAUUCAGAGGUAUAGUAAAGUAGCCAAGCAAGCUAUCGUGAGCAGGAAUCAAUCCUGAAAGAGAGAUGAGAGUAAGCAUCCCGCAGUCCACCGUGCUUGGAACUGAGUCCCGCCGAAAGAGGUUAUUCUUUUUGGCUUGAACUGCUUUGAACUAGCGGUUUUAUUUCUAUUCACGAGAGUACUUCGCCUGUGCUGCUUCCCGUAAGCGAAAGUCACUCUCGCUUAACGAUAUGAGUUCUUUCUUUUCUGUAGUCAACACAAGAGUAGUAGGCUUUCUUUCUUUUCAUAGUAGAGGAGAGGAAAGUAGGUAACUUAGGUCUGGUAUAUACGCAUCCUGCUAAGCAAGCAGGUAAGGAGGUAAAGUAGCUUAUAAUAUCUCUCUAUGAGUUCUUUCUUCUUCUAUAUCUGUUGUUGAAGCGACGCUAGUCGUUUUUGCUGCCGGACUAAGAUCUACUAUCGUAUGUUUUGAGUUUGGAAAUGCAACGUCAAGAAAGAUGGUACUAGUCUGAGCUACCUGCUAUAGGGUUUGAAAAACGGAUAGGUAUCAAAGUGGAACUAUGAGAUAGAUGACUUUCUUUAGUAAUGUCUAUGCUUAGGAACUAGGGAAGCAUAUUGGAGUUUAAACUGAGAUAGGGCUGGACAGUGGGGAUAAAUUCGAAUAUGAAGAAAUGGCAAUAGAGGUAUAAAAAACCACCUAUAUAUGAGAAGAGUAGUAGGGCAAGGAGUAUAGAGAUGAGUUUCUUAUGAAGGAAUUUUAAGUGAGAAAAUAAAAUCUAUUUUUCUACGUUGAAUUGCUAUUGUAAGGUCUUGCUUCUUUUGUCUUGUAUUGUAGUAAAUUCACUCAUUUAAGUUAAGUCAAUUCCCCGGCAGGUAAGAGUAGGAAAAGAAGAAAGUAUUCCCUAAGUUGGAGAAUCUAGUAAUGAACUGAUCGACUAUGCCAAAAUUACCCACUAUAUAUUUACAAGCAAGCCAGGUCGCCCAGGAAAGAGCUCUAAGGAAGGAAUACUCCGCUCGGAUUCAGAAAGAAAAGACCAUUAUGAAAGUCAAAAAGAGUAUAUUCUAUAAAAUCUAUUAGAAAAUGCAAGGUACUAUUCUUUCAGUCAGUAUGGGGCCUCGAAACUCCAAUCUUUCUCACGAAGUUUAUAUGUAAAACUAGUAGUUGGAAAUGAGGCUAACACACUCCGCUAAGUAGUGAGUGCUCUUCUGUGAAAAUGCACCAGAGUCAAACUCUGCCCGUGCUGCUAAUAAAUACUCGUUCGUGUGGAGGUAAUUCCCUAACCAACCGAGGCCCUAACCCACCAAUAAAAGGAAAUUGAUAAGUCCAAUGAACCCGGUCUAUAUAUAUUAUUAAAUGGGCGGUUCUUAGGUCAAGCUUAUUUGAGAUGAGACCCGAACCAAUACCACCCCGAUACUGAUAUCACGAUACGUAUUUUCUGAACAGGCACUAGGGAGGUCUUGCCAAAACGCUUUCCAACCAACUAGUCGAUACCAGGGUGUUAACCUCUGCUCUUGUUGAUUGCCAUUUAUCCUUAUCCUAUCAUCCUUCCGUCCAUUAAGGGCAUCACGAACUCCAUUCUUUCUGUUCUUGAGGUGCCGGUUGCCGUUUCUGGUUCAAGGAAAGGGGAAGUGUUCAGUUGAUAAAAGGGGGGUUUCACUCAUCGGCGUAAUUCCCUUGCAUUGGUGUGUGAGAAUUGGUGCCUAAGGCUAGCUUGAUGCAUUAUGGAAGAUCGGGUUGGGGCGUACCCCCGGUGGAGCAUGUAGGUAGUGAACGAGGAUUUCCUUCCGUUAAGCUAUGACUACUGAGCAAGCUGAUCAAGAGUUCUUUACGGCGCAGAUGUGUGUUAGGUUUCCUAAAGGUUCUCAUUGAUAGUGGGGCAUCUCUAGGAGGGAGGCUUAUUUCUAUUCUCAACAAAUGGAUAUCCAUUCUAUCUAGCCGAGGGAAACAGCCUUCCUGAAGGUAGCAAGUUUCUUUCCUUCCGGCCAAGGAGAAAGAGCAAAGUUUCCACCUCAUCCGACUCAGAGCUCUCAGUGACUUCCCCCAUAGCAACGGGAGAUUAUCACCCCAUAACCCUAAAGGAAAAGGAAAGAGUAGUCGUUUUAAAAAUAGUAAGUAAGAUGCCGGGAUAAGAACUGUGUGAUUUCAGCCUUAGAAAAUAUCUGUCAAAUGGGUCAAAUGUAGAAUUAGAUGUGUAAGCAAAGCUCUGAUUCAGAAAGGAAAGGUAUGUGGGUAGACAUUGAGUUAGAGAUUGAAUGAAGGGGCACACUAGAUAAAACCAAGGACAAGUAGCUAGUUGACUAACGCUUUCGAGCACGUACGCUGGCGCUCUUUGAUAGAGCAUUAUCUACAACCCUGAAGCGAACUAUUCAAAAUCAAUCUAGCAGUCUCUUCCAGCAAUGAAUUGUAGCAGGGCUUGGUCUCGAAAGGUAUAGAUACCACCAGAAGCUUGGAAAGAAGAAGGAAUGUCGACCUACCGCGUAGUGGGCUUUUCACCUUGCUUUUCUGUCAAAUUCACAGACGCUAUAGCUGUGUAAAAACAGUACUCGAUUUCUCACUAGAAAAAACAACUGUCUUUAUUGUUGUGUGCAUAUUAGUCACUGAUUAUAGCUUUGAAUAGGACAAACUACUUUAGUAACUCUUGACUAUUGCUUGAAACAAGCGUUGAAGCAAUGGAAAGAAGCGAACGGGUAAGCGAUUGGGUUAGAAUGCAGCAAGUGUCCAAAAAUAAGAUAUGCCCGGUGAAAAUUAUAAACAAGGCUGAGGAAGGAUUUCGUACUGCCACAAUGCUCUUGAUAGAAGGAAGCAUGAAUACCGAAGGCCUACCUAGUUGAAAUAGGAACAGCUAUAGCAACAGCACUCUUCCUAUGCAGCAUAUCAUUCUAUUGAAGUAUUACACUACAUCUGGAACAAAAUAAUUAAUAAAUUAUGCUUGCAUGUUUGUUUCAUGACAUCUCCUGACAAGUACCAAUUUGACCACCUUGGUCAUCGGGUAAUUAUCAUCUUAUCACACAAUUACUAUUUUAUUGAAUAGGAAAUCAAAUGAACUGAGGAAUCAUAUCAUCUAAACUGCAAAUACAAACUACAAGUAGGCAGACACCAUCACAAUUCAACCGCAUUUAUUUUAUAUGAGCAUUUUACAAUAACAGAUCACUCAUACGUUGAGAUAUCAAUUAAGCUACUGGUUCUCUUAUAUUAGCUUGUUUUCCAGCAUAGUGUAACUUGAAUUCUGAGACUUAUAGCCAAUCAUAGCGAUACACUUAUCCACCUAGCAAUUUAUUAAGGCUUUAUCAAGCAAGUAAUGAAAGCUAUAUACAUUGGUUUCACAGCAGGAUGAAAAUGGAAAACCAUGCAAGGCAAAUAAAGGUACGGG